CUUCCGCUGAAGUAUCACUCACUCUUUGUCUUCUCCGCUGUGUCCUCCAUCCUCUCAGUGAGAAUAUAGAGCUGCUUCCUCUCCUCUCUCACCCACCUCUUUCCCCCUCGCUUGUCCUCCAGAGCGGAAAGCCCCAAUGCCCCUCAUCUGCCCUGUGCGUCUCUCUCUCUCCCCCCUUUCCUUCCUGCCCUCCCUCUCUGGCACGAGGUGCAAUGUUCUGGGCCGUGUAAUAUAGCUGCAGAGAGGAGGAUUCUAGAGGCUGCUUUUGGCACUGUCUCCAGAUCAGUAUGUCCAGAUGUGGCACACAAUACACACCAACACAAUAAGAUACUUCCCCUGACCACUCCACCCCUUCCCGUCACUCUCUCUCCCUUUAUUGCUUUACUGAACCUUUGUUCUGAUAGUGUUGUAAUGCCGCUAAUAUGGAGCUGUUGAGAGAUGUGUUUCGAUGAUGAGAUGAGUAGAUUAAGACAGAAAUAUAUACCUCUGACUCUCUCUCUCUUCCUUAUUCUCUCUCUCUCUCUCUCUUUCUCUCUUUCUCUGUCAAUUCAAUUCGAUGGUUUCUUUGGGCAUGAGAAACGUGUUUACAUUGCCAAAGCAAGUGGAAAAGAUAACAAACAAAAAAAGUGGAAUAAAAAUCAGAAAUGAACAGUGAAGUUAUCUCUCUCUCUCAACAUGGAAUUGACUUUGAAUUGACGUCUGUGCCCAGUGGAAAAGACAGACCCGAGUCCUGGGAUCAUGCCUCAGGACUACCUGGCUUGAUGACUCCUUGCUAUCCUCAGUCCACCUGGUUGUGCUGCUCCAGUUUCAACUGUUCUGCCUGUGGCUAUGGAACUCUGACCUGUUUACUGGAUAUGCUACCUUGUCCCGGACCUGCUGUUUUUGACUCUCUCACUCUACCGCACAUGCUGUCUCUGACUCUGAAUGCUCUGCUAUGAAAAGCCAACUGACAUUUACUCCUGAGAUGCUGACCUGUUGCACCCUCUACAACCACUAUGAUUAUUAUUAUUAUUUGACCCUGCUGGUCAUCUAUGAACGUUUGAACAUCUUGGCCAUGUUCUGUUAUAAUCUCCACCUGGCACAGCCAGAAGAGGACUGGCCACCCCUCAUAGCCUGGUUCCUCUCUAGGUUUCUUCCUAGGUUCUGGCCUUCCUAGGGAGUUUUUCCUAGCCACCGUGCUUCUACAACUGCAUUGCUUGCUGUUUUGUGUUUUAGGCUGGGUUUCUGUACAGCACUUUGAUAUAGCUGACGUAUAUCAGCUGAUGUAAGAAGGGCUAUAUAAAUACAUUUGAUUUGA